UGCGUAGGUGGCGUCGUAAGUCGGGUGUGAAAUCUCGGGGCUUAACUCCGAAACUGCAUUCGAUACUGCGGUGCUUGAGGACUGGAGAGGAGACUGGAAUUUACGGUGUAGCAGUGAAAUAGCGUAGAGAUCGUAAGGAAGACCAGUGGCGAAGGCGGGUCGUCUGGACAGUUCCUGACACUGAGGCACGAAGGCCAGGGGAGCAAACG
rnacentral:rRNA from 1 species